CAGUGACAAAACAGAGUCUCCAUUCAGGACCCCCAUCAUACUGUCCUUGUAGACCCUCUCCCUGACCCGGUGCUGGACUUUCAGGAUCAGCUGGCUGUGUUUUGUGUUUGCAGGUCUGUGGUUCUGGGUCUUCCUGUGUUUCUCAGUCCGGACACAUGUUGCUCAUCAGCUCAGACUCUCAGUCUGUUUAUGUCCAAAGCACUGAUGCUAACUUCCCCCCAGACCCUCCUCCUCCUCCUCCUCCUCCUCCUCCUCCUCCUCCUCCUCCCCCCCUCAUGAUGAAGAGGAUGUUUAAAGCAGAGACACUCAGGCAUUCAGCCUGAAACCACCCACACUCCGCUUAGGUCGGACCUCCGACCUCCACCUUCAUCCUGAUGGUCUCCUAAAAGGUCGUAUCCUCCGAUCGUAGCUGAUCGUAACCAUUCAAGUUAACGUGUCAAUUUACACCGACUUCUUUCCGUUCCUCUGCGGAUCGCCGGACUCCUCAGCUGAUCACAAGAGUUCUAUUUUUUCUGGACGCCGGAGCAUGGCGGAUAAAUUCAGCACAGAUUAACCCGUGCUGGAAAGGAAGUCGGGCACAGACACAAAAUAAAACAUCCGGCUUCUUUUCAAAAUAAAACACUCCGUGUUUCAGGAGGAUCGUAUUUCACACCAUGCAAACGGGCGGAGACGAACAAGUGAAAGGUUUUUAGACGUCAUUUCACCCCGAUGACACCAUGGAUGAGGAGAUGCUGAUUCUAGAAGUCUAGAAGUAGAUUUCCUCCUCUGGAAGGACACAAUCUACUGCUUAUAUGUCUAUGUGUCUGUCUUUAGAGAGACGACUCUUCAUCAUAUUGAAUGUAACGUCUGUAAUCCGCCACAAAAUUCGCCUCACUAACGGAUCCGGUAGGAACUGGCGGACGGUGAAAAUCGCCGCCGUUCCAGAUCGCAGCUGUUCUGGAUGCGGUGAAGAUUGGAGGUUCCUCUGACCGCAGGUCGAAUACUUCAGCGUUCUCCGCAGUCAGGCUUGGAUCCACAUUUGGACAGAGUUCUCGAACUGCUCCAGCUUGUGGUUGUUGGAUGUCCUUCACAGUUGCUCGUACCAUCUCUAAUCUGAUCUCAUAUUUCAUUUAAGUGUCUUGUAGCUCCGCCUCUUUGUGCGCCGCUGAGAUCAUGCUCGUGAUGAUUGAUCCUUCUCGCUCCUGUUCCUCUCUUUGUUUCUUUCUGACAUGGUGAAACUUUAUUAAAGUGAAGACAAAGGGAGGGUAGAAGAGGCCAAAUGACCACGGAGAAGGUCUGGAGGCAGACGUUCACGUCUGCUCCAUCAGGGUCCACUCAGACUGAGGGUCAACUCCUAGUCCAGGAUCUGGUUCAGGUGAUCCGUGGAGAUCUUUAAUCUUUUUCUUCAGUUUCUCUUUUUCUCAUAUAACCUGAGUGUAACAUCACUCUUCUACCCCUCACCUCCUCCUCCUCCUCCUCCUUCCUUCUGGCCUGGACAGACUAGAAGAGAAGGCCUGAAGGAGCAAGGGGAGGAGGAGGAGGAGGAGGCGCAGCAGCCAUGUGUUUCUCAUUAAAGGCAGCGGAAAUAAGUGCUGACCCGUUCGCUCAGGAGGGCAGAUCCAUUUAGAGCUGCAGAGUCCACAAUCAGAGGUGGACCCAGAGCGGGGCUGGGGGGGGGGAUAAAAAGACAGGAGGGAGAAAAGAAGAGACAGAAGACAAGGAGGCUGAAGAGAGGAGUAACAGGGGGGACAUUUAAGGUGGUCUGGAGGCGUUCAGCAGCUCCUUAAAGGGAUAUUCCAGCAUGAAACUAAGUCAUGGUCAAACCCACCGUAACCCCGAGUUAGACCCCGCCUCCAGAGAUGAAUGUUGUCGACCGCUUGCUUCUCUAGUUAUACCAACUUUAGUAACGACCGCAGGAUAGAAAUACAGAGAGACACGCCCCCAACCAAAACGCCACUCUAUAGCCACCAAUAAUGCUCAGAACAGCACCUAACUUCAUCAACAGGACAUAUAGGGUCACAGACAUAGUACUAGCCACCAAACAUCUUUUUAACUUUGACUCAUUUCUUUAGCAAAGAGACUAAACACAACUCACCUACUCUCUUCCAGCAGCUGCUUGUUUGUAGAGAGACCUCAGGCCAGUCCAUUACAGACUACAGCGGGGUGCCGCAGCUCAAGGAAGAACAUUUAUGAUCAUUUCUUUAUCGUUUCCUUGAAGUAAUAAUCAUCAUAUUAAUCAUUUUACAGAAGCGGUAGUUCUUCUGCGUCUCGGUCUGAUUGUAUUUCCAUGAAGAAAUGAUGAACAUGAAUCAUCCGAAAACCCAGAUCCAUCAGAUCCAUCAGAUCCACAUAUGGAGGAGGGGGGGGCGGGGCGGUGAGUGAUGGCGUCCCUUCGCCCCACUUCCUCCCGCAGCAUCCUUCAUCGUCCUCACCCCCCUGCAGUGUUCAUCACUCUCGUCCACACUCAGGUCACACAUUAGAGCGCACACAAACACACUCACACAAACACACAGACACACACAUUCACACUCACUCACACACACACAAACACACACACUCACUCACUCACUCACACAAACACACUCACUCACACACUCACUCACACUCACACACUCACAGAUUUACACAAAGUUCUUGAUCGUUUUUUAAAGUUUUUUAAAGUUCUCGUCCUGGAGGGUCCGGUCUGUUCUCAGCUCCCAGUCCAAGUUCAGAAUCCCUGAUGGUCUGGGGAUCCUCAUAGUCCAGGUCCUGGGUAUCUUCCAUUAAUGCUGAACCAGAUCUCCAGGUUCAGGACCAACAAUCUGGGUCCAUCCAGACCAGGACUCCUUCAGGGAAGAUCUUUAGAUGAUCCCACCCCUACAAAUCCUGGACCCCUAAGAAAACCUCAGACUAACCCAGGAGGGACAGCAGGUCCUGGGUUCAGGGUCAGCUCUCUCUCUCUCUCUCUCUCUCCUGAACUACUGGAGCCUGUAAGGGUCAAAAAUACUCUGGACUGGUUAUCAGAGAGACCCGUUCAUGGUUUACAGAUGACCCCCUUUAAAGAGCAGACAGUGGUGGGAACAGGAGGACUGGAGGACCUCAGGCUGCCCCCCCGUCCCUCUCUGUGUGGAUUAAAGGUUCUGCUGUAUUACCCAUAAUUCACCAGCAGAGGGCAGCAUGACUCUGUGGUUCUGAAGGUCUGGCUCUGACUCGUCUCCUCAGUUUGAGACUCCAGACUUGAUCUCAGACGUGGUCUCUUCUGGUCUCUUCUGGUCUCUCGUGGUCGCUCUGAUCAGCAGGAAGUGGAUCUUCAUUUCAGCGCCGCUCAGCUGACAGGAAACCACGACGGCGGCUCCUGCCCGUCAUAUCUGCGGUCAGUGGGAUCACAGUGAGUCUGUGAGUUUCUCUGCCGUGUGUCUGAGGUUCAAACCCCGCCCCCCACCAGGCCGCUGUGGUCGAUGAAGACAUUAAAGGCGGCGCUGAGCGCAUCAAGAGGAUUUGUGAGGAUCUCUCCCCCAGAAGGAGCAGAUUUGGCGGCGCGGGCCCCUGACAGCAGCACAUGUUGUGGGAAGAUAGCGAGCGGCGGCGGCGGCACACAAAGGCGGCCCUGAGCCGAGCCCAACGGUGAGAGGCUCCCCGGCAAUCGCUGCCAACCUCAGCCGCCUUGGCGCUGUCGCCCCACGUUAGUCACACCGCAGGAGAUGGGGCCCAGCCGCCGAGGGCCACAAAGGGCCACAAAGGGCCAUAAUGGACCCUCUGACUGCAGCGCCACAGAAAAGCUCCUGUCUGAACCCCCCCAGAAGAAGAAGAAGAAGAAGAAGAAGAACUUUAUUGAUCCCUGAAGGGAAAUUCAAUCGUCUGUCGUCUCCAUAAAACGUCUCUAAAGUUUUCUGUUAUUUACAGAAGAGUUCUAAAGUCUGAUGGUCCAAAGAUCUUCUGAAUCUUUCUGUCCUUCAGUGAAGAGAGAGGAGCCGUCCACCACCAUCGGUCCUGUGGUCCAUCAAGGUGUUGUGAAGUGGGUGAUCCAUGUUCUUUAGAGUAGACUCCACCUUCAUCAGUGUAGAUCUCUCCACCACAUCCUCCACAGAGUCCAGCCUCGUUCACCAGUUUGUUCAGACGUCUCCAUCUUUGUGUUUGAUGCAGCGUAGAACAGAACACUGUAGAUCUACACCACAGACUGAUCAAACAUCUGAAGCAUCUAACUACAGACGUCUAUGAUCGGAGUCUUCUCAGGCUAAAGAGGCGGAUGAAGUCUAGAUUCUUAGACCAGUCCAACUUAUUAUCCAGAUCUACACCGAGAUAUUUAUGUCACCACUUAGAUGUCCACUCCACAGGUGUUCAAUUAUGAUUAUUAAUAUGUUCAGAUAAAUAUAAUGAGAUAUUAUUAUUAUUAUUAUUAUUAUUAUAUUCAGAUAAAUAUGAGAUAUUAUUAUUAUUAUUAUUAUUAUCAGUUUGAUUAUUGAACUCUAAAAUAUAGGAAACCAUCAAAAAGUGUUUUUAAUAUUUUUGUUAAACACAUCUGAAGCUUUUGAUGUGCAUCGCUGUGAUUGGCUGAGUGUUCGUCCAAUCAGGAGGCAGUUCUGUGACAUCGAACAAAGCUGCUGACGAGCUUCUGAUCAAUCACCUCCAGGUUUUAAUUAAUGCAGCAAUCCCAUUGGAUCCAGCCCAGAUGUGUGUGUGUGUGUGUGUGUGUGUGUGUCUCCAGUGUGUGUGUGUGUGUGUGUGUUUGUGUGUGUGUGUCUCCAGCUGGGUGUGCAGACUCUCUGUUUUUACGUGAACAGCUGGUGGGUCUCCUCUGUUGUUUUCAGGUUGUGUUCGGGGGGAGACUGCACAUCUGUUUGAGUGUGUGUGUGUGUGUGUGUGUGUGUGUGUGUGUGUGUGUGUGUGUUCAGGUGAAUUCGCUCCAUUAUAAACACAACGAGUCGAUUAAAGUCUCCGUCUGUCUCUCGGUGCCCGUUUGAGUCUUGGUGUUGAACUCUUCGCCCUCCUCUUCCUCUCUCGCUGUUUCAAACUUCCUGUCAGCGUCAUAGAUUUGAUGUGACGCUCUGGUGUUUUUUCACUCGUGUGUCUGUGUGUCUGUGUGUGUGUGUGUGUGUGUCUGUGUGUGUGACGUGUUGUUGAAGGAACCGUCACAGCUUCAUACAUGAGCCUCUGAGUGAUUGAGCACCAUGACGUCAAACUCGUGUUUCAGCCUUUAAAAAGAUGAGCAUUAUUCCUUUAUGAAGACUCCUCCUUCAUUCAUUCAUUCAUUCAUUCAUUCAUUCAUUCAUCGAUGUCCUCACACCGACUCUCUAACAGGUUCAGUCUUUGUUGGUUUGAUAAAACAGCUGUUUCAUGUUCCCUCUUUAACCUCGGAGGGAAACUCGGGUUUGAGACGUUUCUCCACAGAAGUCACCUGUUAUGAUGUCAUCAUUCACCUGGAAAGUUCCUGGUACCUGCACAGCUCUGUUCACCAAGAGUAACCCCCCAAUUUUCAUCCAGAGCGGCACCGAUCUGAAAUGGCUCUGAGCUCUGUCGUCUGCCAGUUCCUACAGGAUCCGGUUCGUGAGGAGAAUUUCGUGAAGGAUAACAGACAGAAGGAAUCAGGAGAACUCCCAAGAACCUGCAGAUUCACGUUCAAUCACACGAUAACGAGUUGUCUCUCUAAAGACAGACACAUAGACAUAUAAGCAGUAGAUUGUGUCCUUCCAGAGGAGGAAAUCUACUUCUAGACUUCUAGAAUCAGCAUCUCCUCAUCCAUGGUGUCAUCGGGGUGAAAUGACGUCUAAAAACCUUUCACUUGUUCGUCUCCGCCCGUUUUGAAAGAAGUCGGUGUAAAUCGACACGUUAACUUGAAUGGUUACGAUCAGCUACGAUCGGAGGAUACGACCUUUUAGGAGACGAUCAGGAUGAAGGUGGAGGUCGGGGGUAAAAUCACCGACAAUGAGGGGAAAGUGCAGAAACACAGAGCGGACUUCGUAAACCAGGUCAGAGCAG